UCCGAGUUGACCCCGGCAGUCUCCCAUGAGUCCCCACCAUUACGUGCUGGCAACAUGGAACGAGGGUUGCGCUCGUUGCGGGACUUAACCCAACAUCUCACGACACGAGCUGACGACAACCAUGCACCACCUGUACACCGCCCUUGCGGACCCCGUAUCUCUACGAGUUUUCGGUGUAUGUCAAACCCAGGUAAGGUUCUUCGCGUUGCAUCGAAUUAAUCCACAUGCUCCGCCGCUUGUGCGGGCCCCCGUCAAUUCCUUUGAGUUUUAGUCUUGCGACCGUACUCCCCAGGCGGAGUGCUUAAUGCGUUAGCUGCGGCACAGAGCGGGUUGAAGACCGCCCCACACCUAGCACUCAACGUUUACGGCUGGGACUGC
rnacentral:misc_RNA from 1 species